rnacentral:misc_RNA from 1 species
AAGCCAUGAGACCCACAAAGUAGACUAAGGAGGUGGUUAAAUGGGAUUGGCAGACUGCACUGGUGAAGUAUAUGGGGCGACAAUAACCUUAAUGUCGGCGUCCCAUUCCCACCUUACCUCUAGACCAACCCAUAAAUAGAAGCUACACCCUCACACCUCUGGCCUAGAGAAAAACGAUGCAAAAAACCAUCACAGGAGAGUAGCUUCACCCUCACAAUGAAGCCCAAAUUUCUUGGUAUCUACUUCUCCAUGCAACAACCAACAAACAAAAGAUACAAAAAUU